CCAAAGGCUCUUUUAAGAGCCAUACACAUUGCAAGAGUAUUCUUC
rfam:Salmo salar isolate Sally breed double haploid chromosome ssa01, whole genome shotgun sequence.